AAGACUAUAGACCUGCGGAGUACCUGCGGAAGGAUCAUUAACGAUUUCGGUGUAAAAAACCGUUUUCUACCUAUGUCUACGCGUACCACUUGUUUCCUCGGGGGGCUUGCCCCCCGCUAGGACCCUUUAUCAAACCUUUUUGUAAUAGCAGUCAGCGUCUGAUACUACGUUAAUUAUUAAAACUUUUAACAACGGAUCUCU
rnacentral:misc_RNA from 1 species